rnacentral:rRNA from 1 species
AUUAAAAACCAAUGCCCUUCGGGGCUCUCUGGUGACUCAUAAUAACUUCUCGAAUCGCACGGCCUUGCGCCGGCGAUGGUUCAUUCAAAUUUCUGCCCUAUCAACUUUCGACGGCUGGGUCUUGGCCAGCCGUGGUGACAACGGGUAACGGAGGGUUAGGGCUCGACCCCGGAGAAGGAGCCUGAGAAACGGCUACUACAUCCAAGGAAGGCAGCAGGCGCGCAAAUUACCCAAUCCCGACACGGGGAGGUAGUGACAAUAAAUACUGAUACAGGGCUCUUUCGGGUCUUGUAAUUGGAAUGAGUACAAUUUAAAUCCCUUAACGAGGAACAAUUGGAGGGCAAGUCUGGUGCCAGCAGCCGCGGUAAUUCCAGCUCCAAUAGCGUAUAUUAAAGUUGUUGAGGUUAAAAAGCUCGUAGUUGAACCUUGGGCCUAGCCGGCCGGUCCGCCUCACCGCGUGCACUGGCUCGGCUGGGUCUUUCCUUCUGGAGAACCGCAUGCCCUUCACUGGGUGUGCC